rnacentral:rRNA from 1 species
UACAGAGGGUGCAAGCGUUAAUCGGAAUUACUGGGCGUAAAGCGUGCGUAGUCGGUUAUUUAAGUCGGGUGUGAAAUCCCCGGGCUCAACCUGGGAAUUGCAUUCGAUACUGGAUAGCUAGAGUUCGGCAGAGGGAAGCGGAAUUUCUGGUGUAGCGGUGAAAUGCGUAGAUAUCAGAAGGAACAUCAGUGGCGAAAGCGGCUUCCUGGACCAGAACUGACGAUCAGGCACGAAAGCGUGGGGAGCGAACAGG